ACCCGCACAAGCAGCGGAGCGUGUGGUUUAAUUCGUUGCUACACGAAGAACUUACCUGGUUUGACAUAUAGGUUGUAGGGAACUGAAAAGGGACCGACCCUUCGGGGAGCCUAUACAGGUGUUGCAUGGCUGUCGUCAGCUCGUGUCGUGAGAUGUUCGGUUAAGUCCGCUAACGAGCGCAACCCUCGUCGUAUGUUAUAUGUGUCAUACGAGACUGCCGGUAAAAGCCGGAGGAAGGUGAGGAUGAUGUCAAGUCAGCAUGACCUUUAUAUCCAGGGCUACACACACGCUACAAUGGUCUGUACAAUGGGUAGCCAAGCCGCGAGGCGGAGCCAAUCCUGAAAGCAGGCCUCAGUUCAGAUUGCAGUCUGCAACUCGACUGCAUGAAGCCGGAGUUGCUAGUAACCGCAGGUCAGCAAUACUGCGGUGAAUACGUUCCCGGGUCUU
rnacentral:rRNA from 1 species